AUGGCUCCCAAUAGGGCUCCUAGACCUGAUAACAUCCCGGCCGAAUUUUACCAGGUGUGUUGGGAGAUUGUCAAAAAUGACAUUAUGGCCUUGUUUGAUCAUUUCUACCAAGGAAAACUGGAUGUGCAGCGGCUUAACUAUGGGAUUAUUACCCUUCUUCCAAAAACCUCUGGGGCUGAGAAAAUCCAGCAGUACAGACCCAUUUGUUUGUUGAGAUGCCCAUAUAAACUAAUUACGGAAGUCCUUGAUCGUAGAGUGGCUAUCUAUGCGGAUAAACUCAUCAGC
rnacentral:rRNA from 1 species